GACAACUUUAAUCCCGCAAAUUGGUGGUCAACUUUUGGUAUCUCAGCCCCUUUAUUGAGAAGAAUAGCCAUAAAGAUUCUUUCUUUAACAUCUAGUUCUUCGGGGUGUGAAAGAAAUUGGAGCACGUUUGAAGGGAUACAUACAAAGAAGAGAAAUAUGUUUGAAUCAAAUCGUCUCAACAAUUUAGUUUUUGUCCAAUUUAAUGCUACUUUGAUGAACAAGAACAAGCAAGAUAAAAAUAUUGAAAAGUUGGUUGGUAGUGAUGCAAGUUUAGCACAAGAUUGGAUUGUGGAAAAUGUUGAGAAUGAGCCGGGAAUGGAUUGCAACAAUAAUGCUAUGGAAGUGGAUGAAGCAUUACAACCCCGUAGAAGUGCUAGAUUGAGGGAUCUUGAUGAAGAUAACUUUGAAUCGGGAGAGGAAAGUG